GGUCAAGUAGCGCAAUGGUAGCGUGUGGUCCUCCUACUCAAUUGAGGAAUUUCAAGACUGAGGUUGUGGGUUCGAGUCCCAUCUUGAUCG
rfam:Podospora anserina genomic DNA, chromosome 4.